rnacentral:rRNA from 1 species
ACAUACGACCACAGACUCGAGAAAACUGGGCAUCCCGUCCGCUCUGCCAUACAUAAGCUUGAGAUCGGCAGAUUAGUAGUAGUUGGGUGGGUGACCACCAGCGAAUCCCUGCUGUUGUAUGUU